GUUCGUGCAAUCACUAAGUGCAAAACAUUUUUUACGAAUUUCUUCCAUGUCAAUUACCUAACUACAAGGCAACUUCAAAUUCCAGCAGAUUUCUGUAAUGAAAAUGGAAGGGUAAACACCUUGUGAGGUAAGGGGCAUUGGAAUUGUUAAUCUUUUUCAGAGUUUUUCAUUGAUUUUUGUUUCUUGAAUGGUUGUAGAAUUACUUUAAUUUCUUUCAAGAAUUUUAAUUCAAAUUUUCUUUAUUUUUUUUUCCAAAUUAAUUUAUAGACUUUGAUUCUUGAAUUGUUGGAGCAUCUUGUGCUUUUUGUAUGCAAUAUACAUUUGUUUUGAGAAAUUAAUGUUGAGUCUUGUUGAAAUGCCUUCCCAAUUCUUGUUAGAAUGUAAGUUUGAUUUGAGAUCUGGUUAGAAUUGUUUCAUUUUUAAUGCAUAAUUGAACUUGAUCCUAUCAUUGUUAGCCAACUUUAAUUGUUUUAAUUCAAUUUGAUGUACUUUUCUUUUCUUUUUUCUUUUCUAAAAUAAAGUCAAGAAUUGAUUGCAAAAUUACUUUCCAACAAUCUUGCAUUCAACCCAAUGAUUCUAACAUUUAUUUUGAAUUUGAUCAUUGUCAGAUUUUUCCAAUUCAUAAUCUUAGGUAAAGAUUCAUUGUCUAAUAUUUUGGGAAUAAUUGUGUGUUUAAAGAAGCAAGUUCCAUAAAUGCAUAAUUGUUAAUUUCUCAUCAAUUAGAGGUCUUGAAUCUUGUACAAUUUGUUUGAUGAUUUAAGCAAGUUAAACCCUCAAACAAUUUGACCAAGAAUCAUUUUAAAUAUCAAGUCAUCUUUGUUUGUUUUCUUACUCAUGAUAAAGAUUGCACCCAAAACCAAUGCUCUUGCGUCCUUUAUUUCUUAGAGAAGUUUAAGUCUAGCCUUGUUGAGUUGAAUAAAAUUUUCUUGAAUUUUCUCUUGAUGAUUGUCCAACAAUUGUUCUUUAAAUUCUUGCAACAGAUUUUGAUAGUUCCUUUGGUCUACUAAUAAUUUUUUCAUUAGUCUUGAGUUUAGGAAAGUUUGUUAUCUGAUAACUUGUAGAAAUACAAGUAAUUGUAGCCUUUUUAUGUAAAAUAAUAAGGCCUUAAUGCAUAAGAUUGAAAGAAAACGCGUAGAAGAAUUGAUUAAGUUGUGCAUAGCAAAUUGCAAUAGAACUUUAUUUGUCUUAUUGUAGGAUAUUAGGCGAAAAGAAGAAGUAUAGCCUAGCAAUAGAACGUUAGGCAAGGGGUCACGCAACCAGCAAGGCGAAAAUCAUCACAAGCUAGGCGACUAAAGUUAGCAGACAAAAAUGAUUGUCGUGUGUCAGAAAAUGACGAAAGGACAUUUGCGGCGCUGAUACAGCUUUAUCAGAGAAAUUAAUGGAGUAUAGAAUGUUCUAUCACGGAUAAGUGUGGCAUCCCAUCUUUUGCAUACUGUAUGACACAAAAAAAUAGUCUAUGGGUCCAAGCCCAAUAGGCAAAUGGGCUCAAGCCCACCUAAAGUCCAUGAAAUUUCUCUAUAAAUAGAGACAUUUUGUCAUUCAUUUAAGGAGAUCUUGCCUAUAAAUGGAGGCAUCUUCUUCAUUAACAGCCGUGUGAAAUUGGAUCCUUAAGAGCAAGCUUAUACUUCUAUUCUCUCUUAUGUUUUAGGUGAGAGUUUAGAACAAAACAGAGAUGGAUUCUCCUUACAAUUUCUCCUCAUCGUAACAGACAAAAAUAAGAGCCAAGGAGGUAUGAGAAAUCGUACUCUAAGGCUCGAUUCAUUUCUUUGAAUAUCAUUUUAUGUUUCUUUUGUAUUAAGUUGUAAUAUUAACUCUAUGGCAGAGAGGCCUAUAAUUUGGUUAUAAUAUUACAUUUCUUCUAGC
rnacentral:lncRNA from 1 species